GAUGAAGAACGCAGCGAAAUGCGAUACGUAAUGUGAAUUGCAGAAUUCAGUGAAUCAUCGAAUCUUUGAACGCACAUUGCGCCCGCCAGUAUUCUGGCGGGCAUGCCUGUUCGAGCGUCAUUUCAACCAUCAAGCCCCCGGGCUUGUGUUGGGGACCUGCGGCUGCCGCAGGCCCCGAAAACCAGUGGCGGGCUCGCUGUCACCCCGAGCGUAGUAGUUUACACCUCGCCCAGGGCGUGCCGCGGGUUCCCGGCCGUUAAACCCCCCCAUACCACAAGGUUGACCUCGGAUCAGGUAGGAAGACCCGCUGAACUUAAGCAUAUCAAUAAGCGGAGGA
rnacentral:misc_RNA from 1 species